ACGGAGAUCAGCGGCGGACGGGUGAGUAACACGUGGGCAACCUGCCUGUAAGACUGGGAUAACUCCGGGAAACCGGGGCUAAUACCGGAUAACCCUUCGGACCUCAUGGUCCGGAGCUGAAAGACGGUUAUGCUGUCACUUACAGAUGGGCCCGCGGCGCAUUAGCUAGUUGGUGAGGUAACGGCUCACCAAGGCAACGAUGCGUAGCCGACCUGAGAGGGUGAUCGGCCACACUGGGACUGAGACACGGCCCAGACUCCUACGGGAGGCAGCAGUAGGGAAUCUUCCGCAAUGGACGAAAGUCUGACGGAGCAACGCCGCGUGAGUGAAGAAGGUUUUCGGAUCGUAAAACUCUGUUGUUAGGGAAGAACAAGUACGAGAGUAACUGCUCGUACCUUGACGGUACCUAACCAGAAAGCCACGGCUAACUACGUGCCAGCAGCCGCGGUAAUACGUAGGUGGCAAGCGUUGUCCGGAAUUAUUGGGCGUAAAGCGCGCGCAGGCGGUCUUUUAAGUCUGAUGUGAAAGCCCCCGGCUCAACCGGGGAGGGUCAUUGGAAACUGGAGGACUUGAGUGCAGAAGAGGAGAGCGGAAUUCCACGUGUAGCGGUGAAAUGCGUAGAGAUGUGGAGGAACACCAGUGGCGAAGGCGGCUCUCUGGUCUGUAACUGACGCUGAGGCGCGAAAGCGUGGGGAGCGAACAGGAUUAGAUACCCUGGUAGUCCACGCCGUAAACGAUGAGUGCUAAGUGUUAGAG
rnacentral:rRNA from 1 species